GACGAACGCUGGCGGCGUGCCUAAUACAUGCAAGUCGAACGCACUCUCGUUUAGAUUGAAGGAGCUUGCUCCUGAUUGAUAAACAUUUGAGUGAGUGGCGGACGGGUGAGUAACACGUGGGUAACCUGCCCUAAAGUGGGGGAUAACAUUUGGAAACAGAUGCUAAUACCGCAUAAAACCUAAACACCGCAUGGUGUAGGGUUGAAAGAUGGUUUCGGCUAUCACUUUAGGAUGGACCCGCGGUGUAUUAGUUAGUUGGUGAGGUAAAGGCUCACCAAGACCGUGAUGCAUAGCCGACCUGAGAGGGUAAUCGGCCACACUGGGACUGAGACACGGCCCAGACUCCUACGGGAGGCAGCAGUAGGGAAUCUUCCACAAUGGACGAAAGUCUGAUGGAGCAACGCCGCGUGAGUGAAGAAGGUUUUCGGAUCGUAAAACUCUGUUGUUGGAGAAGAAUGUAUCUGAUAGUAACUGAUCAGGUAGUGACGGUAUCCAACCAGAAAGCCACGG
rnacentral:rRNA from 1 species